rnacentral:rRNA from 1 species
AUUGAACGCUGGCGGCAUGCUUUACACAUGCAAGUCGAACGGCAGCACGGGGGCAACCCUGGUGGCGAGUGGCGAACGGGUGAGUAAUGUAUCGGAACGUGCCCAGUCGUGGGGGAUAACGUAGUGAAAAUUACGCUAAUACCGCAUACGAUCUACGGAUGAAAGCGGGGGAUCGCAAGACCUCGCGCGAUUGGAGCGGCCGAUAUCAGAUUAGGUAGUUGGUGGGGUAAAGGCUCACCAAGCCAACGAUCUGUAGCUGGUCUGAGAGGACGACCAGCCACACUGGAACUGAGACACGGUCCAGACUCCUACGGGAGGCAGCAGUGGGGAAUUUUGGACAAUGGGCGAAAGCCUGAUCCAGCCAUUCCGCGUGCAGGAUGAAGGCCUUCGGGUUGUAAACUGCUUUUGUACGGAGCGAAAAGGCUCUCUCUAAUACAGGGGGCUCAUGGCGGUACCGUAAGAAUAAGCACCGGCUAACUACGUGCCAGCCGCCGCGGUAA